UACGGGGGGGGGCAAGCGUUGUUCGGAAUUACUGGGCGUAAAGGGCUCGUAGGCGGCCAACUAAGUCAGACGUGAAAUCCCUCGGCUUAACCGGGGAACUGCGUCUGAUACUGGAUGGCUUGAGAUUGGGAGAGGGAUGCGGAAUUCCAGGUGUAGCGGUGAAAUGCGUAGAUAUCUGGAGGAACACCGGUGGCGAAGGCGGCAUCCUGGACCAACACUGACGCUGAGGCGCGAAAGCUAGGGGGAGCAA
rnacentral:rRNA from 1 species